rnacentral:rRNA from 1 species
UACAGAGGUCCCAAGCGUUGUUCGGAUUCACUGGGCGUAAAGGGUGCGUAGGCGGUCGGGUAAGUCUGAUGUGAAAUCUCACAGCUUAACUGUGAAACUGCAUUGGAUACUAUCCGGCUCGAGGAAUGGAGGGGAGACUGGAAUACUUGGUGUAGCAGUGAAAUGCGUAGAUAUCAGGAGGAACACCGGUGGCGAAGGCGGGUCUCUGGGCCGAUAUUGACGCUGAGGAGCGAAAGCGUGGGGAGCAAACAGG